GAUGAACGCUAGCGGCAGGCUUAAUACAUGCAAGUCGAGGGGCAGCAUGAUUGUAGCAAUACAAUUGAUGGCGACCGGCAAACGGGUGCGGAACACGUACACAACCUUCCAAUAAGUGGGGAAUAGCCCAGAGAAAUUUGGAUUAAUACCCCGUAACAUAACGAUGUGGCAUCGCAUUGUUAUUAUAGAUUUUGCGCUUAUUGAUGGGUGUGCGGCUGAUUAGAUAGUUGGCGGGGUAACGGCCCACCAAGUCUACGAUCAGUAGCUGAUGUGAGAGCAUGAUCAGCCACACGGGCACUGAGACACGGGCCCGACUCCUACGGGAGGCAGCAGUAAGGAAUAUUGGACAAUGGACGCAAGUCUGAUCCAGCCAUGCCGCGUGAAGGAUUAAGGUCCUCUGGAUUGUAAACUUCUUUUAUAAGGGACGAAAAAAGGCUUUUCUAAGUCGUCUGACGGUACCUUAUGAAUAAGCACCGGCUAACUCCGUGCCAGCCGCCGCGGUAACAC
rnacentral:rRNA from 1 species